ACCGAGUCUUACGUCAACAGACCAGUUUAGAAUGUGCCGGGCCGUUGUUAUGCAUACCAUAACAAAAAAGGCAGGAAUACUGAGGCAGCUACGACGUGGAUGUCUACAUCUUCUUUAAGAUGCAGGCCCCAAAGACGUCCCAGUGUGAUGCAAAGGCUGUCCAGCAGGCUCACAGACAUCUCCUGUCAACUGAAAGAGAAGCCUUUAAAAUAGUUGUCCAUUUCGACCACACUGUCUGCUUCCCAUUUCUUAGUGCCUGUACGAAAACAGUGACUUUUCCACCUCAAGUCUUUUAAGGAGUUUU